rnacentral:ncRNA from 1 species
AUAAAGUUUUAUUUUGGCUUAAAAAUUUAUUAUUAGUUUAUUUUAUAUGUAAAUUUGUGUGUGAAUUGUUAUUUAUUUUAAAAGUAAAUAAUUUAUAUAAAUAGUCGCAGUAAUUAAUAUUAUUGAUUAAAGAAAUUUAGAAAUAGAAAUAUUAAAUAGUAUUGGUUUAAUUCGUGCCAGCAGCCGCGGUUAUACGAAUAAUGCAAAUAAAUUUUAUUAGUAAAAGUUAAAUUGUUUUAUAAAAAUAAUAUUAAAUUUAUUAGGUGAAAUUUUAAAUUUAUAAAUUUUUGUUAAUAAAAAUAAUUGAAGCUUAAAAAUUUUAGUAAUAAACUAGGAUUAGAUACCCUAUUAUUUAAAAUGUAUUAAUUUUACUAAGGUAGUAUUAGUUAUGUUCUUUAAACUUAAAAAAUUUGGCGGUAUUUUAGUCUAUUCAGAGGAACCUGUUCUAUAAUCGAUAAUCCACGAUGGACCUUGCUUAAGUUUGUUUUUCAGUUUAUAUACCGUCGUUAUCAGAAUAUUUUAUAAGAAUAAUAAUUUUCUAGAAUUUAUAUAAAAAUUUAUAUCAGAUCAAGGUGUAGCUUAUAUUUAAGUAGAAAUGGGUUACAAUAAAUUUAUUUAUAUGGAUAUAAUUAUGAAAAAAUUAUUGAAAGUGGAUUUGAUAGUAAAAUUAUAAAGAUUAAUAAUUUGAUUUUAGCUCUAAAAUAUGUACACAUCGCCCGUCGCUCUUAUUAUUAAGAUAAGAUAAGUCGUAACAUAGUAGAUGUACCGGAAGGUGUCUCUAGAAUGAC